rnacentral:rRNA from 1 species
UACGUAGGCAGCAAGCGUUGUUCGGAGUUACUGGGCGUAAAGAGUGCGUAGGCGGUGCCCCAAGUCUGUUGUGAAAUCCCUCAGCUUAACUGGGGAACUGCGUCUGAUACUGGAUGGCUUGAGUGCAGGAGAGGAACGCGGAAUUCCAGGUGUAGCGGUGAAAUGCGUAGAUAUCUGGAGGAACACCGGUGGCGAAGGCGGCGUUCUGGACUGCAACUGACACUGAGGAACGAAAGCCAGGGGAGCAAACGGG